rnacentral:sRNA from 1 species
CAUUUUGCAGCUUUCUUCUGUCUUGAAGAAGUAGAACGGUGCCCGAGAAACGUUUUGCCCCUUCGAGACUCAGGAGGAUGAAAGUCAUCACUUGUGAAAUAGCCUGGCACAACAAGGAGCCCGUGUACAGCCUGGACUUCCAGCAUGGGACGGCUGGGAGGAUCCACAGACUGGCGUCUGCCGGCGUGGACACCGCUGUCAGGAUCUGGAAGGUAGAAAAGGGACCAGAUGGAAAAGCCAUCGUGGAAUUUUUGUCCAAUCUUGCUCGUCAUACCAAAGCCGUCAAUGUUGUGCGUUUUUCUCCAACUGGGGAAAUUUUAGCAUCGGGAGGAGAUGACGCUGUCAUCCUGUUGUGGAAGGUGAAUGAUAACAAGGAGCCGGAGCAGAUCACUUUUCAGGAUGAGGACGAGGCCCAGCUGAACAAGGAGAACUGGACGGUUGUGAAGACUCUGCGGGGCCACUUAGAAGAUGUGUAUGAUAUUUGCUGGGCAACUGAUGGGAAUUUAAUGGCUUCUGCCUCUGUGGAUAACACAGCCAUCAUAUGGGAUGUCAGCAAAGGACAAAAGAUAUCAAUUUUUAAUGAACAUAAAAGUUAUGUCCAAGGAGUAACCUGGGACCCUUUGGGUCAAUAUGUUGCUACUCUGAGCUGUGACAGAGACAGUCUCACUCUGUCACCCAGGCAGGUGUUGUGGCACAAUCUCACAAUCUCAGCUCACUGCAACCUCUGCCUCCUGGUUUCAAGCGAUUCUCCUGUCUCAACUUCCCUGGUAGCUGGGAUUACAGGCACAUGCCACCAUGCCCGGUUAAUUUUUGUAUUUUUAGUAGAGACAGGGUUUCACCAUGUUGGUCAGGCUGUUCUCAAACUCCUAACCUCAAGUUAUCUGCCCGCCUUGGCCAAUGUGCUGGGAUUACAGGCAUGAGCCACUAUGCCCGGCCCUGAACUUAGUAAAUCUUUAUUAUUAUUACUUUUUUUUUUUUUUUUUUUUGAGAGAGGGGCUCACUCUGUCACCCAGGCUGGAGUGCAGUGGCGCAAUCACAGCUCACUGCAGCUUUGACCUCCUGGGCUCAAGCAAUCCUCGUGCUUCAGCCCUCCAAGUAACUGGGACUAUGGGUGUGCACCCGGCUAAUUUUUAUAUUUUUUGUAAA